rnacentral:rRNA from 1 species
UACGAAGGUGGCAAGCGUUGUUCGGAUUCACUGGGCGUACAGGGUGUGUAGGCGGUUUGGUAAGCCUUCUGUUAAAGCUUCGGGCCCAACCCGGAAAGCGCAGAGGGUACUGCCAGGCUAGAGGGCGGGAGAGGAGCGCGGAAUUCCCGGUGUAGCGGUGAAAUGCGUAGAGAUCGGGAGGAAGGCCGGUGGCGAAGGCGGCGCUCUGGGCAUCUCCUGACGCUGAGGCGCGAAAGCGUGGGGAGCAAACGGGG